rnacentral:rRNA from 1 species
GUGGGGAAUAUUGGGCAAUGGGGGAAACCCUGACCCAGCGACGCCGCGUGAGGGAAGAAGGCCUUAGGGUCGUAAACCUCUGUUGUGUGGGAAGAAGAGCGUGACGGUACCAAGCGAGGAAGUCCCGGCUAACUACGUGCCAGCAGCCGCGGUAAUACGUAGGGGACGAGCGUUGUCCGGAUUUACUGGGCGUAAAGGGCGCGUAGGCGGUCAUUUAAGGCAGCUGUGAAAUGGUUUGGCUUAGCCGGAUCAUGCGGUUGAAACUGGAUGACUGGAGUGCUGGAGAGGCAAGUGGAAUUCCCAGUGUGGCGGUGAAAUGCGUAGAUAUUGGGAAGAACACCGGUGGCGAAGGCGACUUGGUGGCCAGCAACUGACGCUGAGGCGCGAAAGCCAGGGGAGCAAACGGGAUUAGAUACCCGUGUAGUCC